GGAGAGGUGCCGGAGUGGUCGAACGGGGCGGUCUCGAAAACCGUUGUGCGGGCAACCGUACCGUGGGUUCGAAUCCCACCCUCUCCGCCA
rnacentral:tRNA from 2 species